UGAUUGAUCUCUUAUUGAUCACUCACAAUCUUCAUGCACACUUCAGCACAUCCAAAAUACCCCAUACAAGGAUCGAAGAACCAAGUUAGGAAGUGAAUCAAAAUAUGAAUUCACAUACACAAGAUACCAUGAUGAUCUCAGAUCAAAGGAUCACUUACACAACUCUCACUAGAGAAUCAUCAGCUAACAUGUAAAUAAGACUCCAUC
rnacentral:lncRNA from 1 species